UACGAAGGGGGCUAGCGUUGCUCGGAAUGACUGGGCGUAAAGCGCACGUAGGCGGCUUUGUAAGUUAGAGGUGAAAGCCCGGGGCUCAACCCCGGAAUAGCCUUUAAGACUGCAGAGCUUGAAUCCGGGAGAGGUGAGUGGAAUUCCGAGUGUAGAGGUGAAAUUCGUAGAUAUUCGGAAGAACACCAGUGGCGAAGGCGGCUCACUGGACCGGUAUUGACGCUGAGGUGCGAAAGCGUGGGGAGCAAACAGG
rnacentral:rRNA from 1 species